CAUCAGAAACCUUGAAAGAAGAAACCAUCAGCCCAUAGUUGAAGGACUGCGCUGGCUAUUAGCUGUCAUUGAUACUUGCCAACUACCACCUACCUCGAGCAUCUCAAUCUCCAAGAAUAACACAGGCUCUGGAGAAAGAUGCUCAUCACACAGCUUCUCCACCAGAACAGGAAUGUCAAAGGAGAAAAGACAGCAUCUAGAACAAUGCUCAAUCGAAGCUAAGCCUCUAAAGUCAAUCCUACAGAAAGAAGGUACGAGAUUAUGGUCUAAAAAGAAUAUGUCAGUAACAUUUGCUUUAGAUGAACCCAUGAAAGAAGGUGAAUGUUCUAGGAGAAUGAGAGCUCAGAAUACUACGAAGCUUUGCUACAAUUGAAGGAGUGGCUUAUAGACUCCAGCUCCAUAUGCUGAUGACAAUAUUUUUGAAGCCAUCAAAUCAAUCCUAUACUCACUGAGAGGCUCAAGAAGAGUGAGAUGGCAUCCAUUGAGAAUGAAGACCACCUUGGUAAAAAAGAACAGAGACUUUACAUCUUUGUACCGAGAUGCUGCUGACAAAGCUUGUGGACAAUAAGUCAUGGGUGAUCAACCAAAACUGAGCCUUAGAAAUACAGGGUUCAUUUAGAAAUAAGUAUUUUUUUCUUUAAGGUUCUUAGGCAGAAAAGGAUUGGCAAAAAUAAAUAGAACUUCUUUGCUGAG
rnacentral:lncRNA from 1 species